rnacentral:lncRNA from 1 species
AAAAACUAUAACCUUUAAGAAUAAGCACCAUUUUGGGACAUUUUGUCACAACAUGAAAGACAGGUCAUACUGUGGAUGAUGAAUACAAACACUGCAAUGUUUGCACAGUGUUAGAGAAAUAUCACAUGCUGGGAGUCCCUUUCUUUUCCACUGCUGAGAGAACAAGGAAGAGAGGGACCAGAGGAAGAGGGCCCCUUCCACCCCAUGGGUUUAGACAGUCUAUAUGUUUUCUCUGACAAAAUGUUCUGGUGAUCUCCAAAGGAAAUGAUUUCUUGGCACAGACACAAAGGUAAGAGAAUACUUCCCCCCCCCCCCUUCAAAGCUGGAUUAGAAAAGACAUGAAAUGUGGCCUUGCUUUGGAAAACCAAACCAAACUGUUGUUG